CCUACGGGAGGCAGCAGUGAGGAAUAUUGGUCAAUGGCCGCGAGGCUGAACCAGCCAAGUCGCGUGAGGGAUGACGGUCCUACGGAUUGUAAACCUCUUUUGUCAGGGAGUAAAGUGCGCCACGUGUGGCGCUUUGCGUGUACUUUAAGAAAAAGCAUCGGCUAACUCCGUGCCAGCAGCCGCGGUAAUACGGAGGAUGCGAGCGUUAUCCGGUUUUAUUGGGUUUAAAGGGUGCGCAGACGGAAUGUUAAGUCAGCGGUAAAAUUUCGGGGCUAAACCUCGUCGUGCAGUUGAAACUGGCGUUCUUGAGUGCGCGAGAAGUAUGCGGAAUGCGUGGUGUAGCGGUGAAAUGCAUAGAUAUCACGCAGAACUCCGAUUGCGAAGGCAGCAUACC
rnacentral:rRNA from 1 species